UACAGAGGUGGCAAGCGUUGUUCGGAAUUACUGGGCGUAAAGGGCGCGUAGGCGGUCUUGUAAGUCUUGUGUGAAAUCCCUCGGCUUAACUGAGGAACUGCACGAGAUACUGCAAGACUUGAGAUCGGGAGAGGGAAGCGGAAUUCCGGGUGUAGCGGUGAAAUGCGUAAAUAUCCGGAGGAACACCGGUGGCGAAGGCGGCUUCCUGGACCGACACUGACGCUGAGGCGCGAAAGCUAGGGGAGCAAACGGG
rnacentral:rRNA from 1 species